ensembl:lncRNA
GAAAAAUCUAAACCUAACAUUGCUAACACUAACUCUAACCUGAAAAAAAACUAGGAUUAGUUUGCGAUAUAAUGAUCUUUGGCAUAAAGAUUGCGAUAUAAUAACCCUUGGCAUAUCGCUCUCUCUUACCCUUAGACUAACCCUUCCUGUUACAGCACAGCGCUCACCUGCCGCUCCCCCGCCCCCGCUCCUGCCGUGCAAUGGAAUCUCCCACCUCCAUAGCUGCAGGGCUGGGCCGACUCUCCCAACCGCUCGGCGCAGGGGGAGACCUCAGGCAUCAGCUGACUGAUUUAUGGCUUACUAAACUCAUCUUUCCAGAUAACUGCAGGUGGGAUGGAUUUAUGCUUCCCUUCACGUGGUCUUUUUUCAUGGCCCCGGUUCCUGCACUGUAAAAGAGGUGAAGGACCAAAAAAAUAAUCCACACAAAGAGAAUCAAUACGUUCUUCUCUUGUCAAAGGUUAUGGUGGAUCUGGAGCCUAUCCCAGAACACCGGAACACACCCUGAGCAGGAUGCUGGUCAGACCACACACGUGCUCAAACACACCUAUUCCGGCAUGUUUUCGGAAAGUAGGAGGAAACGGGAGAACUCAGAGGAAAUCCACGCGACACAGAGAGAACAUGCCACAGUGACCCAGGCAGCCUGGAGCUGUGAGACAGCAGCACUACCACCAUGCCACCCUUCCACAGUGACACCAGUCCUAAAUAAAGAUUUUGAUUAAUGCUAAUACAAUAAAAUGCAUUAUUUAAAUAGAUUAUAAUCCUAGACAUAAUAAAAUAUGAUCAUUAUGAACUGUAAAGUUGGAAGUCACUCAUUAGAUUGGUGUGUGCGGAAGGUAGCUCAUGUUUUGGAAAUUUUAUUCAGAAAAAAAACAAAGAACAACAUCCUGUUGUAUAUCAGUAUAUCAAGGAAAUACACUAACUGGGGGGAAAAAUAAAGAUCGAAAUCACUUCCUGGAGGAAGUUUCAUCAUUCUGAAGUGUGUUUGGAUUGUAAAAGAUACAAAACGGUGCAAUAAAC